rnacentral:rRNA from 1 species
GAAUGCUGACAUAAGUAACGAUAAAGCGGGUGAAAAGCCCGCUCGCCGGAAGACCAAGGGUUCCUGUCCAACGUUAAUCGGGGCAGGGUGAGUCGACCCCUAAGGCGAGGCCGAAAGGCGUAGUCGAUGGGAAACAGGUUAAUAUUCCUGUACUUGGUGUUACUGCGAAGGGGGGACGGAGAAGGCUAUGUUGGCCGGGCGACGGUUGUCCCGGUUUAAGCGUGUAGGCUGGUUUUCCAGGCAAAUCCGGAAAAUCAAGGCUGAGGCGUGAUGACGAGGCACUACGGUGCUGAAGCGACAAAUGCCCUGCUUCCAGGAAAAGCCUCUAAGCAUCAGGUAACAUCAAAUCGUACCCCAAACCGACACAGGUGGUCAGGUAGAGAAUACCAAGGCGCUUGAGAGAACUCGGGUGAAGGAACUAGGCAAAAUGGUGCCGUAACUUCGGGAGAAGGCACGCUGAUAUGUAGGUGAAGCGACUUGCUCGUGGAGCUGAAAUCAGUCGAAGAUACCAGCUGGCUGCAACUGUUUAUUAAAAACACAGCACUGUGCAAACACGAAAGUGGACGUAUACGGUGUGACGCCUGCCCGGUGCCGGAAGGUUAAUUGAUGGGGUUAGCGGUAACGCGAAGCUCUUGAUCGAAGCCCCGGUAAACGGCGGCCGUAACUAUAACGGUCCUAAGGUAGCGAAAUUCCUUGUCGGGUAAGUUCCGACCUGCACGAAUGGCGUAAUGAUGGCCAGGCUGUCUCCACCCGAGACUCAGUGAAAUUGAACUCGCUGUGAAGAUGCAGUGUACCCGCGGCAAGACGGAAAGACCCCGUGAACCUUUACUAUAGCUUGACACUGAACAUUGAGCCUUGAUGUGUAGGAUAGGUGGGAGGCUUUGAAGUGUGGACGCCAGUCUGCAUGGAGCCGACCUUGAAAUACCACCCUUUAAUGUUUGAUGUUCUAACGUGGGCCCCUUACCGGGGUUGCGGACAGUGUCUGGUGGGUAGUUUGACUGGGGCGGUCUCCUCCUAAAGAGUAACGGAGGAGCACGAAGGUUGGCUAAUCCUGGUCGGACAUCAGGAGGUUAGUGCAAUGGCAUAAGCCAGCUUGACUGCGAGCGUGACGGCGCGAGCAGGUGCGAAAGCAGGUCAUAGUGAUCCGGUGGUUCUGAAUGGAAGGGCCAUCGCUCAACGGAUAAAAGGUACUCCGGGGAUAACAGGCUGAUACCGCCCAAGAGUUCAUAUCGACGGCGGUGUUUGGCACCUCGAUGUCGGCUCAUCACAUCCUGGGGCUGAAGUAGGUCCCAAGGGUAUGGCUGUUCGCCAUUUAAAGUGGUACGCGAGCUGGGUUUAGAACGUCGUGAGACAGUUCGGUCCCUAUCUGCCGUGGGCGCUGGAGAACUGAGGGGGGCUGCUCCUAGUACGAGAGGACCGGAGUGGACGCAUCACUGGUGUUCGGGUUGUCAUGCCAAUGGCACUGCCCGGUAGCUAAAUGCGGAAGAGAUAAGUGCUGAAAGCAUCUAAGCACGAAACU